rnacentral:lncRNA from 1 species
CUUUGAUUGGGUCAUGUUUCCCUGUUUCUUCAUUUGCCUUGUUAUUUUUUGUUGUGACUUUUGCAUUUGAAAGAACAGCCACCUCUGUGUGUCUUUACAGACUGGCUUUGUGCUGGGGAAGAUCUUCACCAGUCAUCCCGUCUGGAGAUUCUGGGGACAUCUCAAACUUUUUAUGGGAACGUGUCGUCUUGUGUGUGUGAGCUCCCCGACCUCUACCCCAGGCUUUACAGCUUCUUUUUCAGGAGUCGCUUGACCAUUCUGAAAGGCACUGCUUCUCCAACUGGACCCAUUGGGGUCCUCCAAGCAUUGAUUCCACUGACCUGUCUCUUGUUGGAUUCAUCAGGACAGUCUAUAGCUUUAUCAAUCACAAUUCUUUGACUUGUGUAUAGUGUUUGAUGAUUUUUAGAGCAUCCUUCCACACUUAGUGGUUGUGCAACCAUCACCACACUCUAAUUUCAGAACAUUUUCAUCUCCCCUGAAGGAACCCUGCGCCUCUCCACUCCCCUGCAACCACUGGGCUACUUCCUGUCUCUCUAGUUUGGCCUUUUCUGGACAUUUGAAAUAAUAAACUCAUAUAAUAUGUAGUCUUUUUGUGAAUGCUGUCUUCCAUUUAGCAUAGUGUUUUCCAGACUCAUCCAUGCUGGAGCAC